rnacentral:lncRNA from 1 species
GAAAAAUGCAGGAAAUCCGGGGACCGUCUAAAGCCGCAAUGAGAAGAACAGUGUUUUGAACUCCGAUUCGUAGUAAGAAUCCUUAACAAUUUUUAUCGUAAUGACAAAUUAAAGUUUCAAUAAUUAAUAAUGGUAUGUUUUGUAAAAAUUAAAAAAUCUUAAAAUUAUUUGCAGGUCACUAGUAGAGUCGAUAACUGGUCAGUACGAAAUUGUUUAUUUUAUGAGAUUGUAGUUGUAAUUGGUGAUUGAUGAAAUAUUGUGAACAUACCUGAAGGGUGUACGGACCCAGUGCAUAAAGAAAAUCCUACCGUUGACAACUUCUCAGUCGAGCAGGGCUGAGAAGUCUCAUACCGAAUGGGGUAUCGAGGUGAUGGUAUAUUUGGCGCCCAUUACCGAACGAGAUAUGAGGAUGACCGAUUGAUUGAUAAUUUAGAUAUUAAUUUCACGCGUAGGAGGACGUCUCUAUGGACCCCUAGAGAUACUAGUAAGCAGGUAAGAAUGUAAGUUUAUUGUUAUUGUUUAUUUGAAUCUGUAAUAAAAAUAUUAUUCGAAUUAUUGUCUUUAUAGGUCGAUUUUCAAAACUCAUAAGGGUAAGUAUGAAAUAAUGGUUUUUAAGUUAAACGAAUUGAUUUAAAAAGAAAUAAUGACUUCAUUGGUUGUUUGACAAUUUUUAUCGACCUUUAAUUAUCCGUAUCGGUGUUAAAUGUGAUAUUCUCAUUAGGGUAGGUGUAGCACAUUCUCUUUAUUUAACAAUUUCAUGUUAGAAAGAUCAAGAUGCAGAUCUUGAACUGCAAACGAGUUGCGAAUAAAAGUUGUGUCCCGCAUCCAAUCAGAGUUACCCAGUAGAGGUUAACUCCAUAGCAUCUUUUGUUACAUUUUAUAUAUUUAUUUAUUUCAUUGUUGAAACUCAUGCGUGAUAAAGUUGGCAAGAUCUUCAAUUGUUAAACAUUAAGAAUGUAGUUGUUACCAAAUGCAUCAUUACUCAAUGAUUGAGCAAACAAAAGUUCAUUUUUAACCUCGAAAAGGUCCUUACCAUUUGGAUAAUUAAGGGGGGAUGAAUUUUGUGAGAAGUUGUUCAAUUCAUACGAAUGUCUAAAUUCUAGAAUUCAUUGAAUUUAUUUGAAUUACUCAUUUCUAACGAGCAAAUCAAUUUGUCUUUUUUUUUGCCAAAGACAUGCACUGUCGGCCAGGACUCUAAAAAGCUUUUUUGUUAUUUUUGAAGAUUUAGUCUUAAAGUCCUGUGUCUGUAGGAGCGAGAAAUUUAUUUAAUCCCUAUCUAUUUUUUGAUAACUCUAUAUAGUAAACUAUAAGAUCUAAAAUGCAUCAAAAUAUAAAAUACAACAACUAUGAGUGGAUUAAAGGUUUUUUAUGAAGUUUUUU